rnacentral:rRNA from 1 species
AGAGUUUGAUCCUGGCUCAGGAUGAACGCUAGCGGCAGGCUUAAUACAUGCAAGUCGAGGGGCAGCACAGGUAGCAAUACUGGGUGGCGACCGGCAAACGGGUGCGGAACACGUACACAACUUACCUUAGAGUGGGGGAUAGCCCAGGGAAACUUGGAUUAAUACCCCAUAAAACAGGGGGCCCGCAUGGGCAUAUUGUUAAAGAUUUAUCGCUUUAAGAUGGGUGUGCGUAUGAUUAGGUAGUUGGUAGGGUAAUGGCCUACCAAGCCGACGAUCAUUAACUGGUGUGAGAGCACGACCAGUCACACGGGCACUGAGACACGGGCCCGACUCCUACGGGAGGCAGCAGUAAGGAAUAUUGGUCAAUGGACGGAAGUCUGAACCAGCCAUGCCGCGUGAAGGAUGAAGGUCCUCUGGGUUGUAAACUUCUUUUAUAGGGGGCGAAAAAGGGCCAUUCUUGGUCAACUGACGGUACCCUAUGAAUAAGCACCGGCUAACUCCGUGCCAGCAGCCGCGGUAAUACGGAGGGUGCAAGCGUUAUCCGGAUUUACUGGGUUUAAAGGGAGCGUAGGCGGGUAUGUAAGUCAGUGGUGAAAGCCCUCAGCUUAACUGAGGAAUUGCCGUUGAUACUAUAUAUCUUGAAUAUCGUUGAGGUUUGCGGAAUAGGUCAUGUAGCGGUGAAAUGCUUAGAUAUGACCUGGAACACCUAUUGCGAAGGCAGCAGGCUAAACGAUGAUUGACGCUGAGGCUCGAAAGCGUGGGGAUCAAACAGGAUUAGAUACCCUGGUAGUCCACGCCCUAAACGAUGAUUACUCGACAUUGGCGAUACACAGUCAGUGUCUGAGCGAAAGCAUUAAGCAAUCCACCUGGGAAGUACGACCGCAAGGUUGAAACUCAAAGGAAUUGACGG